rnacentral:tRNA from 1 species
GGUAAAAUGGCUGAUAAUAGGUGAUAAACUGUAAAUUUAUUAAUGAGAGAUUUCUCUUUUACCA